AGCAGAGUCCAACCUGUCGACUGGAGACUGUGAGAUGGAGGCUGGAUCAUUGUCCAGAGGCUGAAGCAGCACCAGCUUGUGUGUAGAGCGGCUCUGACUGGGCCUUGUUGCUGGGAGGCAGAGAGGAGACGGAGCUCCAGAAGAAUCAGAGGAGGUGCACGGCUCUGAGAUCAGCUGUCACACAGUGUCCAGUCCACCAUCCUCCCUGUGUGUUCCUGUGGAUGUGACACAGCUUCAUCAGUGAUGAAGCUGUGAACCAAUCCCAGCCAAUCCCAGCUGACAUUGGGUGAGAGGUGGGGGCUGUGCCUUGGACGGGUCACCAGUCCAUCACAGGGCCGACAAACAACCAUUCACACUCACAUUAACACCUAUGGUCAAUUUACCCAACCCCUAAUCUGCAUGUGUUUGGACAGUGAGAUACAGUGGACUGUUUGGAGUUGUUAAAGUCGGUGUCCAUCUGAUAUUGGAAAAUGAGCUAAACUGGAGUGUUUUUGGUUUAUUUUAACAUUGUGAUCGCAUGAUUCAGAUAUUACUGCAGAUGUCUAAUGUUACUUACUAUUAGCCUGCCAAUU